rnacentral:piRNA from 1 species
UGUCAUAGACAAAAAAGACAA